rnacentral:rRNA from 1 species
AGAGUGAACGCUGGCGGUAGGCCUAACACAUGCAAGUCGAACGGCAGCACAGUGGUAGCAAUACCAUGGGUGGCGAGUGGCGGACGGGUGAGGAAUACAUCGGAAUCUACCUUUUCGUGGGGGAUAACGUAGGGAAACUUACGCUAAUACCGCAUACGCCCUUCGGGGGAAAGCCGGGGACCAGCAAUGGCCUGGCGCUGAUAGAUGAGCCGAUGUCGGAUUAGCUAGUUGGUGAGGUAAUGGCUCACCAAGGCGACGAUCCGUAGCUGGUCUGAGAGGAUGAUCAGCCACACUGGAACUGAGACACGGUCCAGACUCCUACGGGAGCAGCAGUGGGGAAUAUUGGACAAGUGGGCGCAAGCCUGAUCCAGCCAUACCGCGUGGUGAAGAAGGCCUUCGGUGUAAACGUCCCUUUUAGGUUGGAAAGAAAGCAAGUUACGGUUAAUACCGGUGUUCGUGACGUACCGAAAG